UACGUAGGGUGCGAGCGUUGUCCGGAAUUAUUGGGCGUAAAGGGCUCGUAGGCGGUUUGUCGCGUCGGGAGUGAAAUCCACUGGCUUAACUGGUGGCUUGCUUUCGAUACGGGCAGACUGGAAGGUAUGCAGGGGAGAACGGAAUUCCUGGUGUAGCGGUGAAAUGCGCGAUAUCAGGAGGAACACCGGUGGCGAAGGCGGUUCUCUGGGCAUGUCCUGACGUGAGGAGCGAAAGUGUGGGGAGCGAAACAGG
rnacentral:rRNA from 1 species